rnacentral:rRNA from 1 species
GUUGUUUUCUCGAAAAUCAAUUCAUAAUGGCUUGAUGCUAAGUUUUAAGACUUUAUCAGCUUGUUUCUUAGUUUUCUUGUCUUUGUGAAUGCACUUUUCGUUUAACAAGUCAACAUCAAUUUCUUUUGUUGUAAAAGGGUAGAAGGAAGGUGGCUUUCUCUUCGGAGAAAGUGUUUAUAGCCUUCUACCUCUGCAAUCGGAGAGAUUGAGGUCUGCAGCGUAGACUCUUCGGGGUUAGAUACAUUUGUGCUAAGUUAUAGCUUUUUAUAGACAACAUGUUGACUAUAAUUAGUCUUGUAGCUUACUCGCUUAUGCUAUUUUACCUAC